AAAGGGAGACCUAAUUCAGGUAGGAGACGAAAAAAAAGUAGUCGCUACCAAGAAUCAAUCCCAAAAGGUCGGAGCGAGGCGAAAUUGGCUUUCAAACUAGGUCCUGGGUUCAAACAAGACCUGAAUCAGGAACAAGGGCUAUUAGCUCAGGUGGUUAGAGCGCACCCCUGAUAAGGGUGAGGUCCCUGGUUCGAGUCCAGGAUGGCCCACCUGUACAGGUGGCAAAAAGAAAGAAAAGAAGCGAGGAAUCAGCACCUUAUCUUACUGACAUAGUAAGAGAGAAUGCUGGCUCUGAGUAAAGAGUCCAGAGGAACCUUGAAAACUGCAUAGAGCUAGGUGAAAAAGCCAAAAAAGAAGACCGCAAG
rnacentral:tRNA from 1 species